UCAGUCUCAGCCACAUCUCUAUAACUAAAGGAUUACAGCAGGGAGGGGAGAGCUCCUAGGUAAAGAACUAUCCAAGAAGGGCCUGGCUCCAGAGAUUUAUCAAUAGCCAUCAGGACGAGAUGUUCCAAACAACGCAUUAGUAAGAAUAAGCGUGUGUCUAAAAAAACCCACUCAGCAUAUUAAACUGAAAUGGAAGAGGAAAUGUACCAUAAAUCCAACUGCCAUCAAGCCAUUUUAAAAACAUGACACUGCUGCUGUUCGGUCAAGAUCUCUGCACCCCUGUUGGAACCUGCCGAUUCCUCUCUCAGCCCAAGUCAGCUACAAGCCAAAAGCCCCAUCCUGCAAGGAUUCAAUGAUUUCAGUGCGGGGUCAGGGAGCUUGCGGGAUAUGCCCCAAAGUAAAGCAAAAUUUUGAAACAGGGAAGAAUUCAGAAUGGUUGAAACAAACAUUCAAGCCCAACUAACGACUGAUUCCUAUUGCGACCCCUGCCUUCUGAAUGGGAGCAAUCCUCGUUCAUACACAGAAUGCUAACAAAUUAAAACAU